rnacentral:tRNA from 1 species
AUUGAGGUGGCAGAAACAGGCAAUUGUAAAAGACCUAAAACCUUUAUCUGAGAGUUCAAAUCUCUCCCCCAAUC